AAUGCACACGAGCAGACAGAGAAGCAACAUCUUUAAGGUACUGAGGGCAGGAGAAGUUAAUGUAGAAUACUAUGCCAGAAAAAAUAAAUUCCCAAAAGUGGAAGUGAAAUAAGGACAUUUAGAGAUGUACAAAAGCUGACCGAAUUCACUACCAGUCAACCCACACUACAAGAAACAUCAAAUGAGUCCUCCAAGCAGAAGGAAUCCAAUACCAGAUGAAAAUCCAGAUCUCCACGAGGAAAUGAAGAACACCAGAAAUGGGUAACUAUACUAGAUCGGCCCUUUCUUCAAAUAAGAGCAGUUGGAAUAACAAAGCUGUUCAGUUGUACCCUUGGAAUCCACUGAAAUCCUGGGUAGGGAAGCUCCAGUACCACCAACUGGAAAGACUGGGAAUGCCUAAUAGCUGGUACUGGCCAUUGUCGUAGGCUUUGUCCACUCUGACAAACUGAAGAUGGGGACUCGACUCACCUUCGCCAGCCACAGGAGGACCUCCAGACGAGGACAGGACUCGCUGCCUUUCUUUCCCGUCAGAAAGGGAUCCCUUGCGGACAGGACCUAA
rnacentral:lncRNA from 1 species